rnacentral:rRNA from 1 species
UACGUAGGCAGCAAGCGUUGUUCGGAAUUACUGGGCGUAAAGGGCGCGUAGGUGGCCUUCUAAGUUGAACGUGAAAUCCCUGGGCUCAACCCAGGAACUGCGUCCAAGACUGGGAGGCUUGAAUCCGGGAGAGGGAUGCGGAAUUCCAGGUGUAGCGGUGAAAUGCGUAGAUAUCUGGAGGAACACCGGUGGCGAAGGCGGCAUCCUGGACCGGUAUUGACACUGAGGCGCGAAAGCCAGGGGAGCAAACAGG